CCUANGGGGGGCAGCAGUGAGGAAUCUUGCGCAAUGGGGGAAACCCUGACGCAGCAACGCCGCGUGAGCGAAGAAGGCCUUCGGGUCGUAAAGCUCUGUCUAGUGGGAAAAAAGUCCUGGUGUGAAUAGCUCCAGGAUCUGAUGGUACCGCUGGAGGAAGCACCGGCUAACUCCGUGCCAGCAGCCGCGGUAAUACGGAGGGUGCAAGCGUUGUUCGGAAUUAUUGGGCGUAAAGGGCGUGUAGGCGGUUUGGUAAGUCAGAUGUGAAAGCCCUGGGCUUAACCCAGGAAGUGCAUUUGAAACUACCAGACUUGAGUAUGGGAGAGGAGAGUGGAAUUCCCAGUGUAGAGGUGAAAUUCGUAGAUAUUGGGAGGAACACCCGUGGCGAAGGCGACUCUCUGGACCAAUACUGACGCUGAGGCGCGAAAGCGUGGGGAGCAAACAGGAUUAGAUACCCCANUANUC
rnacentral:rRNA from 1 species